GAUGAACGCUGGCGGCGUGCCUAACACAUGCAAGUCGAGCGAUCUUCUUCGGGAGAGAGCGGCGGACGGGUGAGUAACGCGUGGGUAACCUGCCUCAUACACAUGGAUAACAUACCGAAAGGUAUGCUAAUACAAGAUGAUAUAAGAGAUUCGCAUGGAUUUCUUAUCAAAGCUUUUGCGGUAUGAGAUGGACCCGCGUCUGAUUAGCUAGUUGGUAAGGGAAUGGCUUACCAAGGCGACGAUCAGUAGCCGACCUGAGAGGGUGAUCGGCCACAUUGGAACUGGGACACGGUCCAAACGCCUACGGGAGGCAGCAGUGGGGAAUAUUACACAAUGGGCGAAAGCCUGAUGCAGCAACGCCGCGUGAGCGAUGAAGGCCUUCGGGUCGAAAAGCUCUGUCCUCAAGGAAGAUAAUGACGGUACUUGAGGAGGAAGCCCCGGCUAACUACGUGCCAGCAGCCGCCGUAACAC
rnacentral:rRNA from 1 species